CACCGCCGUCACAUCACGAAAGUGGAUUGUACUAGAAGUCCGCAAGCCGACCGCAAGGAGGCAGCGGCCAAGGUAUGAUUCACGAUUGGGGUG
rnacentral:rRNA from 1 species